rnacentral:rRNA from 1 species
AGAGUUUGAUCCUGGCUCAGGAUGAACGCUAGCGGCAGGCUUAACGCAUGCAAGUCGAGGGGUAACGGGGAAGCUUGCUUCCGCCGACGACCGGCGCACGGGUGCGUAACGCGUAUAGAAUCUACCUUGUACUAGGGGAUAGCCUUUGGAAACGAAGAUUAAUACCCUAUAGUAAGUAUUUAUGGCAUCAUUUAUACUUUAAAGGUUACGGUACAAGAUGACUAUGCGUCCUAUUAGUUUGUUGGUAAGGUAACGGCUUACCAAGACAUCGAUAGGUAGGGGCCCUGAGAGGGGGAUCCCCCACACUGGUACUGAGACACGGACCAGACUCCUACGGGAGGCAGCAGUGAGGAAUAUUGGACAAUGGAGGCAACUCUGAUCCAGCCAUGCCGCGUGCAGGAUGACGGCCCUAUGGGUUGUAAACUGCUUUUAUAUAGGAAGAAACACUCUCACGAGAUGAGAGCUUGACGGUACUAUAAGAAUAAGGACCGGCUAACUCCGUGCCAGCAGCCGCGGUAAUACGGAGGGUCCAAGCGUUAUCCGGAAUCAUUGGGUUUAAAGGGUCCGUAGGCGGGCUAUUAAGUCAGAGGUGAAAGUUUGCAGCUCAACUGUAAAAUUGCCUUUUGAACUGGUAGUCUUGAAUUAUUAUGAAGUGGUUAGAAUAAGUAGUGUACCGGUGAAAUGCAUAGAUAUUACUUA